GAUGAAGAACGUAGCGAAAUGCGAUAAGUAAUGUGAAUUGCUGAAUUCAGUGAAUCAUCGAAUCUUUGAACGCACAUUGCGCCCGCCAGUAUUCUGGCGGGCAUGCCUGUUCGAGCGUCAUUACAACCCUCAGGCCCCCGGGCCUGGCGUUGGGGAUCGGCGGAGCCCCCCGUGGGCACACGCCGUCCCCCAAAUACAGUGGCGGUCCCGCCGCAGCUUCCAUCGCGUAGUAGCUAACACCUCGCGACUGGAGAGCGGCGCGGCCACGCCGUAAAACACCCAACUCUUCUGAAGUUGACCUCGAAUCAGGUAGGAAUACCCGCUGAACUUAAGCAUAUCAAUAAGCGGAGGA
rnacentral:misc_RNA from 1 species